rnacentral:lncRNA from 1 species
GCCACUUACUGUAAUGUAAAUCAGUUUGUCAGAGAUUAUCAAUGGAUUCUCACAGGAACAAAUAUAAUACAAAAUGGAAACUGUAUGAAUAAAGGACUGCAUUAAGGACGGUGACCUCUAUAGCCUAUUGAUAGAGAAUAAUUUCAUUUGGACACGUACUUUCUGGCAUUUGUGGAGCAACGCUGAUGAAGUGCAAUAAUGUAAAGUGCUGGCAAAGGUGACCCACUGGAGAAUGAGAAGCUGACCCCAUCAAACCUAGGUAGAUGCUGCUGCCCUGGAAAACUUCGCUUGUGUUGAAACCAGGUAAACAAAGGUUUUUAUGGUUCAUGGAGGACAAUCAACCCCUUCACAAUCUCAAACCCAAAGAGUGGAUCUUCUGAGAACAUCUACCGUAAAGGCUAUAGUUACACAACAGACUUUAAAUUCUUUUGUGAAAGUUAUGAUAGAAUUGGCUGAAUAAAGAAGUAUCUGUGCAGCUGCUGGCACUUGUGGCCUAUGGAGAAAUACAUCAAAUGAAAAUGAUAGAGAUUCAGUGGUAGGGGAUUAAUGAAGAGAUUGCUUAGUUAAGUGAGUAGACUCUUUAUCUAGCUCGUUCUUUGAUCUAUUUGAUUUUAGAUGGUUUGGAUUAUGGGGACCCUGGGUAAGGAUCAAACUCCAAACUCUUAUUAUUAUCCUCCUGAUAGUCAUAAUAAUAGUCUACCUUGUUAGCUGUAUUUUCUCAAAGGUUUUAAAUGUUUGUAUGCAUUCUAGAGAUGUCUAGAAUGUCAAAUUGGUCUUUCUUCAACUGGAAUGACAAGAGCUGAAAGAAAUGUGUGACCAGGAGGACGCUGUAACCUAUGAAUGACAUGCUGAGUUGAGAAACCCAAAACGAUGGUAACUGAGAGUGAUGCUAAGGCCCUAAGUUUUGGUCACACUCUCACCCAAGUGAGAAUCAGACCAAAAAGGGGCAAUUUUUUUGAAACAAAAUUCUGGGAGGCCAUUGUUUUGUACUGAGCUCAUGCAUUAGGCCCCAACAAACCAAACCAAAGUGGAGUCACUUGUGCUAAGACUUUAAGGAAACACUUAGAUCCUAGAACAGACCAGGUUGUUUUUCUCCUGCAAAUCUCUAUAACAAACAUUCCUGACAGCAUAGGUAUCCAACCCCUGAAGUUCCCAUUAAAUCUUUUUUUUGUU